CUUCACACGGAUCGCCCUUUCCAUUCCCUUCUCUCUCACAAUUCACAUCUCAUAAACUUCAUUAGACUCUCUCUCUUUCUCUCUCUCAGAUCUAGAUCUGGAGCAAACAUCAAUGAAAUUGAAAACACGCAGUGAUGAACACCGAUUUGAAGAAACCCUAACUAAAGGGACUUGACUUGCCUCAUGGUGGACACUUGUCUCAUGGAUUCAUGACACCCAAACGAAGGGUUUUGGGAACAUCCAUAUAUUUUGAAUCCAUAUAUUUUGGUUUUGUUACUUGUUUUUGAAUUGCAAUCUGGUCGAUUCUUUACUUUUUUGGGGGUACCCGUUCCUCAGAUGCAAGUCAAAAGAGUGCAAACUUGAAGUUCUUUUGUUUUCUUCUUCGUGUCUGACAAUGAAAUUGUUUCCGGAAUUCUGGGUUACAGUUUUGAUGUCUUGCAGAUUUAAAGAUUACAAACAGUCUACUAUGGUUUCUCGGUCUGCAAUUUGAGGAUAUUUUUAAAUUGGAUCCGCUUUAAAAGGGCAAUUUCCGGAGGAAGAACGACGAGAGACGGAGGCACAGACGCUGGUCGUCAGCGAUAAUAAAGGUUGAAGAAGUUAAAUCAAAUAUCUUUCCUUUAUUGGAUACAGCCCCUGAGCUGGUGCCAGUUCAAUAUGGUGGACUGAGCCGCGAAGGCGAACAAGAAUUCACCUCUGGUGACGCCGUUAUAGAAGAGCUUUUCAAGUCUGCAACUAAACAUGCCGUCGAUUUCCCUGUUACUGAGAUUGCAACUAGAUAUCUGGUUCCGGAGCUGGCUGGCAAACGUUUGACGCCUUUGGUAGCCUAUCGUUGCUUCUUUAUGUUGCCUUCAUAUAGAGAAUGUAUGAAUAUUGUUCUGUAAUCUAUAGAAUCCUUUCUUUAUGUUAUAACUUAAUUAACAAUUCAAUUUAUAUUCUGCCCAUUUGCAUGGAGAAAAGAUGAACACAAUGCUAAAUAGUAUGGCAGAAUUCUUGAUUAUUUAAAAGAACUUGGGAUUUGGGAAACUAUUGUAUGAGUUAAAUAGUUGCAUUUUAUGGUCUGAUGUAGCAAAGUUAAAUUUUGAGGUCUGGGUAACCAGUAAAAAACAAGUUUAAGUAGAAGUGACAACUUGAAUAUUGGUUUAAAAUAGUGCGUCUGAGGCAUGAGGCCUCUGAAGUCUGAAGUGUUGAUAGAAACGCUUCACCCUACUUGAAGUAGUAUUAACUAGAUUUUAUUUACGUGGCAUUUCAAAAAAAAAAAAAAA
rnacentral:lncRNA from 1 species